rnacentral:rRNA from 1 species
AGGACGAACGCUGGCGGCGUGCUUAACACAUGCAAGUCGAGCGGAAAGGCCCUUCGGGGUACUCGAGCGGCGAACGGGUGAGUAACACGUGAGUAACCUGCCCCUAGCUCUGGGAUAGCUCCGGGAAACCGGGAUUAAUACCAGAUACGACCACUUUAGACAUCUGUCGUGGUGGAAAGGAUUCCGGCUAGGGAUGGGCUCGCGGCCUAUCAGCUUGUUGGUGGGGUAACGCCUACCAAGGCGACGACGGGUAGCCGGCCUGAGAGGGCGACCGGCCACACUGGGACUGAGACACGGCCCAGACUCCUACGGGAGGCAGCAGUGGGGAAUAUUGCGCAAUGGGCGAAAGCCUGACGCAGCGACGCCGCGUGGGGGAUGAAGGCCUUCGGGUUGUAAACCCUUUCAGCAGGGACGAAGCGAAAGUGACGGUACCUGCAGAAGAAGCGCCGGCUAACUACGCGCUAGCAGCCGC